CCUGCUCUCUGGCUGUGGCGG
rnacentral:miRNA from 1 species